CACACAAGUAACAGAUGUCCUUUCUCCGGGAUAAUUCGAUAACAAGUGUCAAGGUGCAGCAACAGGUGAUUAGAAAGCCACCUGCGGAAGACUGAUCCCAUGUUCCCUAAGGUUUUCCUGCAGUGGUAUGCGGCAUUUUCCUCUUGCGCAGCUAAAAUAGACCGGCGGCGGCCGGGUAAAUUCCAGCCAUUCCGCCGCCUGUUUGGGAGGAAGAGGAGGAGGGAGACAGAGCGAGGGUUUGAGGAAACCGAACUUAAACCCAGCCACUCCACCGAUGAAGUGUGCAAUGGAGUGGUCUCAGGCCCAGAAGAGUCCAGUCAGCAUCUAAGAGAGCUAAAUCCCCUGGGGUCUCGAGCUUUUUCACACGAGAGCAUCUUCAUCCCUGAGGAUUCUGUAGAGAAGCCGUGCUCAGAACUGACCAUGUCUCAAGAGAACGUCUCAGACAAAGUCAGGAACCUACA
ensembl:lncRNA